rnacentral:misc_RNA from 1 species
AAGUCGUAACAAGGUUUCCGUAGGUGAACCUGCGGAAGGAUCAUUAACAAAUCCCGGCCCGCCCUCUCCAGGGUGGGCUAUCUGUGCCGGCACCGAGCGCUGUGGCGCGACGUGCCGUGUUCAUCGUGCUCUGCACAAGUAUGUAAGUCGGACUGAACAACAUGGUGGGAACACAACAAACAACUUUUAACAAUGGAUCUCUAGGCUCUU